rnacentral:ncRNA from 1 species
AAAAUAAAAUUCGAGUGGGGAAUAUCGGUGAAAGACCGAUGCUGUAACGCAACUGUAAAGGGAGCUUUUAUUCAGGGACUGUCGAACAGGAAUAAAAAGUGAAGAACUAAGUCAGACUGCCAUUUGAUUU